rnacentral:rRNA from 1 species
CAGUAGCCGCGGGAAUACAGAGGGUGCGAGCGUUAAUCGGAUUUACUGGGCGUAAAGCGUGCGUAGGCGGCUAAUUGAGUCGGAUGUGAAAUCCCCGAGCUUAACUUGGGAAUUGCAUUCGAUACUGGUUAGCUAGAGUGUGGGAGAGGAUGGUAGAAUUCCAGGUGUAGCGGUGAAAUGCGUAGAGAUCUGUAGGAAUACCGAUGGCGAAGGCAGCCAUCUGGCCUAACACUGACGCUGAGGUACGAAAGCAUGGGGAGCAAACAGGAUUAGAUACCCCUGUAGUCCCUGUCUCUUAUAA